rnacentral:rRNA from 1 species
CGUAGGACGCGAGCGUUAUCCGGAAUUACUGGGCGUAAAGGGCCAGCAGGCGGCUUGGUAAGUUGUGCGUGAAAGCCUCGUGCUCAACGCGAGGAAGCCGGACAAUACUGUCAAGCUAGAGGGCAUCAGAGGGGAGUGGAAUUCCCGGAGUAGCGGUAAAAUGCGCAGAUAUCGGGAGGAACACCGAUGGCGAAGGCAGCUCCCUGGGAUGCACCUGACGCUAAGAGGCGAAAGCUAGGGGAGCGAACAGGAUUAGAGACCCUGGUAGUCCUAGCUGUAAACGCUGGGUGCUAGGUGUGGGACGUAGAAGUUCCGUGCCGGAGCAAACGCGAUAAGCACCCCGCCUGGGAAUUACGGUCGCAAGGCUAAAACUCAAACGAAUUGACGGGGCCCCGCACAAGCAGCGGAGCGUGUGGUUCAAUUCGAUGCUACACGAAGAACCUUACCUGGGUUUGACAUGUACGUGGUGCGAAGGCGAAAGCCUAAGGACCCUUCGGGGAGCGUACACAGGUGCUGCAUGGCUGUCGUCAGCUCGUGCCGUGAGGUGUCGGGUUAAGUCCCGUAACGAGCGCAACCCUUGCCCUUAGUUACAAGUGUCUAAGGGGACUGCCGGCGGGAAGCCGGAGGAAGGUGGGGAUGACGUCAAGUCAGCAUGGCCCUUAUGUCCAGGGCUACACACACGCUACAAUGGUCAGUACAAAGGGUAGCGAAGUCGCGAGGCGGAGCGAAUCUCAACAAAGCUGAUCGUAGUUCGGAUUGCAGGCUGCAACCCGCCUGCAUGAAGCUGGAGUUGCUAGUAACCGCGCGUCAGCCAUAGUGCGGUGAAUACG